UACAGAGGUCCCAAGCGUUGUUCGGAUUCAUUGGGCGUAAAGGGUGUGUAGGUGGCGCCGUAAGUCGGGUGUGAAAUUUCGGAGCUCAACCCCGAAACUGCACUUGAUACUGCGAUGCUUGAGUACUGGAGAGGAGAUUGGAAUUUACGGUGUAGCAGUGAAAUGCGUAGAUAUCGUAAGGAAGACCAGUGGCGAAGGCGAAUCUCUGGACAGUUACUGACACUGAGGCACGAAGGCCAGGGGAGCAAACGGG
rnacentral:rRNA from 1 species